GCCAGGAGCGUUUUGGGGCGCUGUAGCCUCUACACUAACCCAGGUGCCCCACUCACGCUUCUCCAUUUCUGGAGCUCCAGCUCUUAGCGAACCUCCUAGGGGUUCAAGGCACCCUUACUGGUGGGUGGAUGCCUGGCCCACUGGCCACAUGGAGCUCCUGGCCGGGCCGGAAUCCCCCUUAGCCGGUACACCAGGUCCCCCUCCCCUCCGCCCCGUCUUCCCUCCUGAGUCCUAGGCGGACGAGAGAGACUCGCGCAGAGCGCCCAGAGGCCUCCCUGGGCUGUGGUCUUGACCUGGAGGAUGCAUACGCCCCUACCUGACCUUCGAGUGGACGCGGGCGCCUUUCUAGGCCGGCAUGGGUUGAGAAGGGGAGGCGGGGGCUCCUGAUUCUCCGCUCUGUUUUGCAGCUACUGCCCUGCAAGCGCUUGCCUCCUGGCGCCGUUCUGCCUGCGCUCGGCGCCCUCUUCGCGGGCACGAAGUAGCAAUGGGCACGGGCUCUGUCGUAGGAGGGCGCGCCGGAGGCAAGGACAUGCUCCAGAGCCAGAAGAUGGGGAAAGGAGAAGCAGGAGCCCUGGUGAGGAGUCUGAAGAUUGUCCUGCGAAGUGUGAUGGGACAGCCUCUUUUCAGCUUCUCUGAAAAUGGAGACAGAGGAGCUGUGAGUCUUGCUUGCCAAGGUCAUAGGAUUGGAAUCCAGAGCCAUGCCCCUUGCUCCAGGACACGCACCAUCAUCAGAGGCGGAAGAGCCAAGCAGAAAGGGAAGAUGCAGUUGCUGCUCUCUUGAAGCUGCAGCCGUGAGGGGCCAGGAUGGAGGAGGAGGACUGGGGCAGAGAGCACAGUGUGGGUUCUGCUCCCACUCCUGCCCUUCUGGGACUUGGCUGGGGGCCUGGGGAAACAUGCCCCUACCCCCCUACCCAUCCUGCAGAGGUCUUGGCCUUUGACCUGUGGGCCACCGUUUCUGCCCUCGUCACAUUGUAUGCCUGUUCCAGUGCAGGGUGUUCCAGCAAACAGAAGCUCCACCCCAUAUCUCCGCCCCCGAGGACCGAGGGCUGCGUGCCAGGUGGUUGCCCACACAAGGGGCUCCAGCCUUCUAGGAGUUAAUGAUGCCCUCUCCCCAGCUGUCCUCCCCUUGGUGCUCCUCUUCCUCCCUCCUCCUGCUCACAGCAGGCAGGGCCUGGACCUGGGAGCCAUGCCGCUGUGCUGUUGCCAGGGGAGCCGGGAGCCAGAUCCGAGCUAUGCAGGGAAAAGGCCCGGCCUGUCAAAGUGUCUGAGAUGAACCGCCGCCGUCCCCGUGCAGCUGGGCUCAGACGUGUCUCUGCUCUUGUUCUGUGCCUGAGAAUGGCGAAGCCCAGUGAGGUUCAAGGGCAAACUCACUAUUCAUUAGUCAGGGGUUCUUGACGUCCGUGUCUCCCAGGGAUGGGUCCCCCCUCCCUUUUCCUCUCCCUCCUGUGACACAUUCCUGGGUGCCUUUGGUGAGGGCUGCACACCCUCCUCCUCCUGCCCAACUCCUCUCCAAAGGCCCCUGAAUAAACUCCCCACAAGGAGACCAGGCAGGGCAGAGACAAUGGCCGCAGGAAACCAUUCAGGCGGGACUCCAGCCAUGCUGGCCCGUCCUCCACUCCCAGCGCCCCUGUAGGCCCUGCUCCCCUUCUGACUCAGGGCACCCUGGACUACUAGACCACACAGGCCUGGACAAGACAAAGGCACAGGGCACUGCCCUCAGGGCAACAGGCCAGCCCAGCGCCGUCCUCAGUGGGCUGGUUGGAUGCUUCCAUGACCUGUAUCUUACUCUCCAUGCCUUUCUCCACCAUCACAUAUCUCUUCUAAGACACUCAAACACCAUUGGUGGGAAGGUAUGAAAUGUGGCAAUACCAGAAUGUAAAGGACACAUGUACUUAGUUACAAGCAAAUUGCACUGCUAGAAAUUUACUCUACGGUUAACAUGUAGACUUUCCCAAAGAAGAAUGUACAAGAAUGUUCAUCUGAGCAUUUGUUUUUUAAGAAUGUAAAGAAAUGGAAAUGAACCUGUGGCCCAUUCAUACUGUGUGAAAAACUAUGCGACUGCAAAAAUGAAUGUGGUAGGUCUCUAAAUAUUAGCUGAUAAGGAAGGCUGGCCAGUAUAUAUUGUUGGGUGAAGAGAAUAAAUUACAGAACAGGCAAUA